rnacentral:lncRNA from 1 species
CUGCCUGUGUGUCUCCCGGCAGGUUCUUCUUCAGCACUGUGGCCUCGGCCACAGCUGGCAUGCUCUGCCUGAUCGCCAUCCUGCUGUAUGUCCUCGUCCAGUACCUCGUGAACCCCGGGGUGCUCCGCACGGACCCCAGGUAUGAAGGAUGGCCCCGAGGCCACCAGUUCCAGAGAGGGUCUGUCACCGAAAGACAUCCAUGCUGAGUCACCCAAAGACAUCCAUGCUGAAUCCAUCCCUCUGCCAUUCUGCCUUGCCCCACCCUCUGCCAUUCUGCCUUGCCUGGCCCUCUGCCAUUCUGCAUUACGCCUGAUUUUUGGAAGUGUGGUUUUGAGUGUUGGCAGCCCAGUGUCACAGAGGACCAUAUCUUAGAAAUGACCCCAGGCGAGAGCUGUGGCUUUCCUGUUCUAUUUGAAGGCAGCUGUUUUAGGGUGCAGCGGGUCCAGGGACACAGAGUGGGCCAUGAGCAAGGGAUGGGUGCUGGGGCCU